CCUACGGGUGGCAGCAGUGGGGGAUAUUGCACAAUGGGGGAAACCCUGAUGCAGCGACGCCGCGUGGGUGAAGAAGUAUUUCGGUAUGUAAAGCCCUAUCAGCAGGGAAGAAAGAAGACGGUACCUGACUAAGAAGCCACGGCUAACUACGUGCCAGCAGCCGCGGUAAUACGGAGGGGGCGAGCGUUAUCCGGAUUCACUGGGUGUAAAGGGAGCGUAGACGGCCGUGCAAGCCAGGAGUGAAAGCCCGGGGCCCAACCCCGGGACUGCGGUUGGAACUGGGCGGCUGGAGUGCGGGAGGGGCAGGCGGAAUGCCUGGUGUAGCGGUGAAAUGCGUAGAUAUCAGGAGGAACACCGGCGGCGAAGGCGGCCUGCUGGACCGCGACUGACGUUGAGGCUCGAAAGCGUGGGGAGCGAACAGGAUUAGAUACCCUUGUAGUC
rnacentral:rRNA from 1 species